GUACUUACCUGGAUGUGGUCAAUGGUUGAUCAUAAAGGACCAUGGCCUAGGAGAGUGACCUUCAUUGCACUUAGGACGGGUUCUAUCCUAAGGUCUACCCAAGUGGUGGAGCCUACAGCAUAAUUUGUUGUUGUGGGGGCCUGCGUUCGUGCGGCCACCUC